rnacentral:rRNA from 1 species
GCAGUAGCCGCGGUAAUACCGAGGGUGCGAGCGUUAAUCGGAUUUACUGGGCGUAAAGCGUGCGUAGGCGGCUAAUUGAGUCGGAUGUGAAAUCCCCGAGCUUAACUUGGGAAUUGCAUUCGAUACUGGUUAGCUAGAGUGUGGGAGAGGAUGGUAGAAUUCCAGGUGUAGCGGUGAAAUGCGUAGAGAUCUGGAGGAAUACCGAUGGCGAAGGCAGCCAUCUGGCCUAACACUGACGCUGAGGUACGAAAGCAUGGGGAGCAAACAGGAUUAGAUACCCCUGUAGUCCCUGUCUCUUAUAC